GACGAACGCUGGCGGCGUGCCUAAUACAUGCAAGUAGAACGCACAGUUUAUACCGUAGCUUGCUACACCAUAGACUGUGAGUUGCGAACGGGUGAGUAACGCGUAGGUAACCUGCCUGGUAGCGGGGGAUAACUAUUGGAAACGAUAGCUAAUACCGCAUAAUAUUAAUUAUUGCAUGAUAAUUAAUUGAAAGGUGCAAUUGCACCACUACCAGAUGGACCUGGGUUGUAUUAGCUAGUAGGUGAGGUAACGGCUCACCUAGGCGACGAUACAUAGCCGACGGGGGAGGAGGAGCAGCCAAACGGGAACGGAGACACGCUCCAGACGCCUACGGGAGGCAGCAGGGGGGAAUAUUGGACAAUGGGCGAAAGCCUGAUCCAGCCAUACCGCGUGGGUGAAGAAGGCCUUGGGGUUGUAAAGCCUGUUUGUGGGGAAAGAAAAGCAGGAGGGUAAUAACCCGCUGUUCUGACGGGACCCAAAGAAUAAGCACCGGCUAACUUCGUG
rnacentral:rRNA from 1 species